GGGCCUCUCUCCCCGGCACCCCGCCGCCAGCGCGCCCUGGGCUCCCCCUCCCCGGACCGUCCUCCAGGGGCCACCUCGAGCCCGCGCGGUCACAGAAGGGAGAGAAGACCCGGGAGUGAAGGGCUCCCCCCACCCCCAACACGGAAAUCGGGCCGGGAAAGAGCCGAUCCCUGGAGUGCCCACCCGAGCAGGUCGGGCCGGAGACGCGGCGGGCGGCUGAAGGGAAGGCUGGUGCCCCCCCCACCCCCCCGCCGACUCGUGCUGCACCUGGGAGCGAGUCUGGAGCGCCCCGGCUCUGAAGUCUAGGGGCUGCGGUCCUGCUGAGCCGAUGGGGGCCGGCGGGCCCACCCCGAACCGCCCUGCGUAGGUUUCGGGACCGCAGGUCAGGGAGUCCGCACAACCCCGCCGCCCCGCGAGUUCAAGCCCAGAUAGUCUCAGGACUGUGUGUGGGACACGAGAGUGAACUUUUUCGGGGUGAUUCUGACCUCUGCCCCCCAACUCAGCCACGGACACGGGGCUUUUUACCCUCCCUCCUGCCUCUCCGUCUGGAAACACAGGUGCCAUUCGGUUCUGGCGACCUCAAACCGUUUGUGAUGGAGUUUGGUUAAAGUGGACACAUGGCUGGAUCACACACACGUCUACACAGCCUCUCCAUCCGGAGUCUGGGAGGAAAAGCGCUUUGUUGGCCGAGAGUGCGCAGGGGCCUGGGCUCUCCUCUGGCUUCCCUCCUCUGGUCCACCGCUGGGUUGGAGAACCCCUUCUUCUGUUGGGAGGGAGGUGUGGACGCGCACGACUUGUGUAUGGACAAGUGCAAAGCUGGAGGAGUGAGAAAACUUUAAUCCUACGGAGGCCGGAGCUCGCAGGUCUGCUCUUCCGCCAAGGGAUGAGCCGGGAUUCCCUGCAGAAGGAGCUGAGCCCUCUCCGGCCGGAGACCACUCCGCUGGCGGAAGCUUGGUUCCCUAAUUCCUUUUACCAGGUGCAGCCCUGACUCUCCGAGCUCCACCCUCCCCUGCCCCAGUGUUUGCCCGCAGCCCCAACCGCAGGGAGCUGAUUUACUAGGGAUUCCGAUGGAUGCUCUCUUUUGGCUGGCACCCCAACUUUUCACUCAAGCACCACGAGACUGGAGGGUGAAGGUGACCAGGACUCAGAGCUGGAGGCUUCUGUACAGAACCUGCAUGACAACCCUUCAAGGUCCCUGUUGGAUGUGACAGCACCGUGUGGGUGUGUCAGAGCUGAACUCUUGUCUUCGGCCCCCGUGUCU
rnacentral:lncRNA from 1 species